GGAUCAUUGCUUGAGCAACGACGUCUCCCCGUUCUAGCGUCUUCAUUGUUGGUACAAGUGUUUUCUAGCCUUGGCCCUUUUUAGUUUCCUGUGUUGCAUACCGGUCUACGGAAUUGUUUUGUUUCAAUUGCCACUUGUUCGUCUUAUGAUGCCCGCAUUCAGCGUGUGCGUCGUGGAUGAAUCACGAAGUGCCCGUUGCCGUCCGCCUCAGCCACGGUAACACGUGUGCUGCAUGCGGCCUGUAACUUGGUACAUGUACUCAUAGAUGCGGAACCCUCUUACGGUACGCGGCUUGUCCCGUUGUUGCCAAAAAUUCAGCGUUCACCGCUAUUUAGCGAACGACCGUCGUUGUCGUCUCAGGCAGGAUGUCUCUAUGAGUCGUGCCAUGCCCGAGCGUCAUCGACGUCGAUGAGGA
rnacentral:misc_RNA from 1 species